rnacentral:rRNA from 1 species
UACGUAGGUGGCAAGCGUUAUCCGGAUUUAUUGGGCGUAAGGGGAACGCAGGCGGUCUUUUAAGUCUGAUGUGAAAGCCUUCGGCUUAACCGGAGUAGUGCAUUGGAAACUGGGAGACUUGAGUGCAGAAGAGGAGAGUGGAACUCCAUGUGUAGCGGUGAAAUGCGUAGAUAUAUGGAAGAACACCAGUGGCGAAAGCGGCUCUCUGGUCUGUAACUGACGCUGAGGUUCGAAAGCGUGGGGAGCAAACAGG